CAGGCGACAACAGGGCAGACACACUGAAGAGGUGCCAGUGAUGGACCUACAGGUGGCCCAAACACAGGCUGAACUCCAAGACCUUGAGGAGCGCUUUAAGGUGCUGGAGUUGCGAAAGAGAGUGAUGCUGUGAUGAAGUGGAAGACGGGACUGGGAGAGAAGGCUGUGGAGCUCCUCAUAGAGGAGACACUCAAACACACCCCGGCAGCCCAUUCAAAACAAGCCAGGGCCAACAGACAGGACCUGUAGCGGGGACUGGCAGAAGAUUUUAAUUCACUGUUUGGCACUUUAUUUGAAAUAAAAUGACAAUGUUACAUGGAAAUGCUGCCUUGUUUAUGAUUAGCUUGAGUUAGGCUACACAUCACACAAACAUAGUCCUCCUAAAGUUGGCUACCAUGUAGCCUAUUAUACAAGAACAAGUAGCAUUUUGGGCAAAUGAGGUCUGCAUAUGAACCGCCCCAAUAU